rfam:Paenibacillus polymyxa SC2, complete genome.
UUCAUCGCGAGGUGGAAUCUGGAGGAAGCUGGAGGCAAAUGCACGAGCCAAGGUACACGAACUGGAUUUGAGGCAGGGAUCACAGAUGAGUCACUUAUGCAUAACGAAAUCCGAAGUCGCCAAGGGCAUCCCUGUAGACUCCAGUGGUUGCGGGCAGAAAAAUGGCGCU